rnacentral:rRNA from 1 species
UACGUAGGGGGCAAGCGUUGUCCGGAUUUAUUGGGCGUAAAGAGCGUGUAGGCGGCCAUGUAGGUCCGUUGUGAAAACUCGAGGCUCAACCUCGAGACGCCGAUGGAAACCAUGUGGCUAGAGUCCGGAAGAGGAGAGUGGAAUUCCUGGUGUAGCGGUGAAAUGCGCAGAUAUCAGGAGGAACACCGGUGGCGAAGGCGGUGGUCUGGGCCGGCACUGACGCUGAGGAGCGAAAGCGUGGGGAGCGAACAGG